UACGUAGGUGGCAAGCGUUGUCCGGAUUUACUGGGCGUAAAGAGCGCGCAGGCGGUCGAUCAAGUCGCGUGUGAAAGCCCCCGGCUCAACUGGGGAGGGUCACGCGAUACUGAUCGACUCGAAGGCAGGAGAGGGUAGUGGAAUUCCCGGUGUAGUGGUGAAAUGCGUAGAUAUCGGGAAGGAACACCAGUGGCGAAGGCGACUACCUGGCCUGUUCUUGACGCUGAGGCGCGAAAGCUAGGGGAGCAAACGGG
rnacentral:rRNA from 1 species